UACGUAGGUGGCAAGCGUUGUCCGGAUUUACUGGGCGUAAAGAGCGCGCAGGCGGUCGUUCAAGUCGCGUGUGAAAGCCCCCGGCUCAACUGGGGAGGGUCACGCGAUACUGAUCGACUCGAAGGCAGGAGAGGGUAGUGGAAUUCCUGGUGUAGCGGUGAAAUGCGCAGAUAUCAGGAGGAACACCGAUGGCGAAGGCAGGUCUCUGGGCAUUAACUGACGCUGAGGCGCGACAGCGUGGGGAGCAAACAGG
rnacentral:rRNA from 1 species